GGGUCUUCCAGGAGCGCGCUUGAGCGGACGCUGCCUACCGGUGGCCGGGCGGGAUGUAACCCGCUGCUGAGCUGGCAGCUCUGUGUCGCUAGGCUUCGGCCCGGCCGCCGCCGCACAUAAGCUGCGAGGAGGAGCUUUACGACUUCCCGGUCUUCGGGGCCGGGCGCAGCAAGGGCCAGACUCUGCGCUAGCAGGCGCUGCGCGCCAACCGGCCGGCACCUGUCGCAGAAGGUGCAACCGAUCGCACUGUCGCGCCGAAGCUCCUCAAUGGCCAGCGCCAGCUGCAGCCCCGGCCGCCCACUCGCCUCACCUGAGCCUGGGCGAAUCUGGAUUGGGAAAGUUGACAUUAAUCAACUCAUUAUUCCUCCCAGAUUUGUAUUCUCCAGAGUAUCCGGGUCCUUCUCAGAGAAUUAAAAAGCCUGUACAGGAGCUUGAAAAAUCACAUUUGAGAAGAGGAUUGGAUCCUAGCCAUAACAUAAAUAUAAGGGUGGAACCAAAGUUUUAAUCAAAGAAGGUGGUGUUCAGUUGCUGCUUACAAUAGUUGAUACCCCAGGAUUUGGAGAUGCAGUGGAUAACAGUAAUUGCUGGCAGCCUGUUAUCAAUUACAUUGAUAUUAAAUUUGAGGACUACCUAAAUGCAGAAUCGCGAGUGAACAGAUGUCAGAUGCCUGGUAACAGGGUGCAGUGUUGUUUAUACUUCAUUGCUCCUUCAGGACAUGGGUCAGUAACCUGAUAGUUCUGAUUCCUUUUUGUUGUUGUUGCUUACUGUUACCUUUAUGUGCAUAUUUGAGUAAUCUUUAAGUUUGUGAAGUACAUACAACUAUACCCAUUAUUAAGUACCAAAUUUCAUGUAGAAAUGUCUUAGUUGAAAAGCCUUUUUAAGUCCUGUGUAAGCUAACAGUGAUUUUACUCCUUAGUUCUUAUUCAUAAGGAUUUUCCCUGCUUCAUGGAAAUAAACAGUGUUGCCACCAUGGUUUGAGGUCUCAAUGUGGCAAAUUUAGCUUUCAUGUUGAACUACCAAAUAAAGAGAAGCAGCCAAACCAGUUAGACAUAUUCAAAAUAAAUCCAAAGAUGC
rnacentral:lncRNA from 1 species